rnacentral:rRNA from 1 species
GGGAGGUAGUGACAAUAAAUAACAAUAUAGGGGCCCCUUUGGGUCAUAUAAUUGCAAUGAGUACAAUUUAAAUCCCUUAACGAGGAAUCAAUUGGAGGGCAGGUCUGGUGCCAGCAGCCGCGGUAAUUCCAGCUCCAAUAGCGUAUAUUAAAGUUGCUGCAGUUAAAAAGCUCGUAGUUGAAUCUCGGGACCAUCAUGUCGGUCGUGCCUCGGUACGUACUGGUAUUGUUGGUUUCUCCCUUCUGACGAACCAUGAUGUCAUUUAUUUGGUGUUGUGGGGAAUCAGGACUGUUACUUUGAAAAAUUAGAGUGUUUAAAGCAGGCUCACGCUUGAAUACAUUAGCAUGGAAUAAUGAAAUAGGACGUUUGAUUCUAUUUUGUUGGUUUCUAGGAUCGACGUAAUGAUUAAUAGGGAUAGUUGGG